UGGGGAAUAUUGCGCAAUGGGCGAAAGCCUGACGCAGCGACGCCGCGUGGGGGAUGAAGGCCUUCGGGUUGUAAACCCCUUUCAGCAGGGACGAAGCGAAAGUGACGGUACCUGCAGAAGAAGCGCCGGCUAACUACGUGCCAGCAGCCGCGGUAACACGUAGGGCGCAAGCGUUGUCCGGAAUUAUUGGGCGUAAAGAGCUCGUAGGCGGUCUGUUGCGUCCGCUGUGAAAACUCGGGGCUUAACCCCGAGCCUGCAGUGGAUACGGGCAGACUAGAGGUAGGUAGGGGAGAAUGGAAUUCCCGGUGUAGCGGUGAAAUGCGCAGAUAUCGGGAGGAACACCGGUGGCGAAGGCGGUUCUCUGGGCCUUACCUGACGCUGAGGAGCGAAAGCGUGGGGAGCGAACAGGAUUAGAUACCCUGGUAGUCCACGCCGUAAACGUUGGGCGCUAGGUGUGGGAUCCUUCCACGGAUUCCGUGCCGCAGCUAACGCAUUAAGCGCCCCGCCUGGGGAGUACGGCCGCAAGGCUA
rnacentral:rRNA from 1 species